GGAAGCCGCACCCGCACCGCACAGCCGUCCGCGGUCCGCGCCCGUCCCGGCCGCAGCAACCCGCACAGGCGCACAGCACAGCAGUCAGCCGCCGGUCGCCGCCCAUCACCGUCCACCUCACUGCCUCGUCGUCGGCCGUCGCGGUUCUACUUCUGCACUCCUGCUUUUGCUUCUUGGUCUCUUGCUUCUGCUUCUGCACUUCUUGCGGCUGCACGGCGCGGCACAGCAGCCGGCCAGGGGCAGGGGCCAGCCCAGCGUCCGGCUAAGUCGCGAGGGGCACAGAGGAGCCGGCAGCCCCUCUGCUGUACUCGGCGCAGCUGCCGUUCGGCGAGGUGGGCAGGCUCCUCUGGCUCUUGAGCUUGAGCUCCCGUGUGAAGUCUCGCAUCAGGAGCUUCUGGAUCCUGUAUAAGCGAUGGAGCUCGUGAACCUGUGGAAUCAGAUAAGAAGACGUCGAUCAGAGUACUGCGCUUUUCUUCUGGAGACUAGUAGUAGCUUCAACAAAUUCUGGAAAGCUCUUUGAGCUUUUGAGCUUUAUUACUUGCUGUCUGAAAAUCUCUUCGUGUUUCAGCAUGGCCAUCUUCAGCGUGUCUUUAUCGCAGUGCCUGAAUGCUUGCUCCAUGGGCAUUGUGAGAGUAGGGCAGUGCCUCUCACUCCUAUCUCUUUUAUUAGUGCCACGAAUGAGUGAUAAUAUUGUGUUGUUGGUUCCACAAUGUCUUUGUGAUUAGUAACUUUGAACUGCAUGAUGUUAAUUUUAUCGGUUUC
rnacentral:misc_RNA from 1 species